UCGGUGAUUUCAUAAUCAGAAUAAAAGAAUCUUACCUAUAUUAAUUGACCCAAAGAGAAUUACUAUCAUUCAUUGGAUUUUAAGUUCAAUCUCUUAUCUCCAUCUGCGAUUUCAUAGUCAGUCGUUCCAUCUCCAACUAUUUUUCUUCGUUCAGAAUCCAGUCCAUAUAAUCUCUUCUUUAUAUCUGCAAUUAUUUUGUUUCUCCUCGUUCAAAAAUAAAAAUGCAGAAGCUAUCUUCUUCUUUCCUUUUCUUCAGAUCCGUUAGUUUUGUGAUAAAAUGGUUUACAUCUAGCUUCUCAACGAACUCCUAUGUUUAAUAUGUGAUAAAAUUGUUUAGAUCCUAGCUUUUCAAGCAAUUCAUGUGUUUUUUCCUAUGACUUUGUGUUGGUUUUGAAUGGAAUCCGAGUUUGGAUUUAAUUUUUUCUUCUC
rnacentral:lncRNA from 1 species